GUACAAGUACUUCCAGCUGCUUUAGUACAAAGUCCAGCAGCUUAGCUUGAAUAGUCCUCUCUGAUAAUUUCAGCUAAGCUAUUGGACUUUGCAUCAAAGUAGCUGUAUGCUCACAU
rnacentral:miRNA from 12 species